rnacentral:rRNA from 1 species
UACGUAGGGUGCAAGCGUUGUCCGGAAUUAUUGGGCGUAAAGAGCUCGUAGGCGGUUUGACGCGUCGGCUGUGAAAACCCGAGGCUCAACCUCGGGCCUGCAGUCGAUACGGGCAGACUAGAGUUCGGUAGGGGAGACUGGAAUUCCUGGUGUAGCGGUGAAAUGCGCAGAUAUCAGGAGGAACACCGGUGGCGAAGGCGGGUCUCUGGGCCGAAACUGACGCUGAGGAGCGAAAGCGUGGGGAGCGAACAGG